AGCAGCCGCGGUAAUUCCAGCUCCAAUAGCGUAUAUUAAAGUUGCUGCAGUUAAAAAGCUCGUAGUUGAAUUUCGGGACCAUCAUGUCGGUCGUGCCUCGGUACGUACUGGUAUUGUUGGUUUCUCCCUUCUGACGAACCAUGAUGUCAUUUAUUUGGUGUUGUGGGGAAUCAGGACUGUUACUUUGAAAAAAUUAGAGUGUUUAAAGCAGGCUCACGCUUGAAUACAUUAGCAUGGAAUAAUGAAAUAGGACGUUUGAUUCUAUUUUGUUGGUUUCUAGGAUCGACGUAAUGAUUAAUAGGGAUAGUUGGGGGCAUUAGUAUUCAAUUGUCAGAGGUGAAAUUCUUGGAUUUAUUGAAGACUAACUACUGCGAAAGCAUUUGCCAAGGAUGUUUUCAUUAAUCAAGAACGAAAGUUAGGGGAUCGAAGACGAUCAGAUACCGUCGUAGUCUUAACCAUAAACUAUGCCGACUAGGGAUCGGAUGAUGUUAAUUUUUUAAUGACUCAUUCGGCGCCUUACG
rnacentral:rRNA from 2 species